rnacentral:rRNA from 1 species
GACGAACGCUGGCGGCGUGCUUAACACAUGCAAGUCGAACGGAAAGGCCCUGCUUUUGUGGGGUGCUCGAGUGGCGAACGGGUGAGUAACACGUGAGUAACCUGCCCUUGACUUUGGGAUAACUUCAGGAAACUGGGGCUAAUACCGGAUAGGAGCUCCUGCUGCAUGGUGGGGGUUGGAAAGUUUCGGCGGUUGGGGAUGGACUCGCGGCUUAUCAGCUUGUUGGUGGGGUAGUGGCUUACCAAGGCUUUGACGGGUAGCCGGCCUGAGAGGGUGACCGGCCACAUUGGGACUGAGAUACGGCCCAGACUCCUACGGGAGGCAGCAGUGGGGAAUAUUGCACAAUGGGCGGAAGCCUGAUGCAGCAACGCCGCGUGCGGUAUGAAGGCCUUCGGGUUGUAAACCGCUUUCGCCUGUGACGAAGCGUGAGUGACGGUAAUGGGUAAAGAAGCACCGGCUAACUACGUG